GAUGAACGCUGGCAGUGUGGAUAAGGCAUGCAAGUCGUGGGAGGCUUCGAGCCGACCGGCGAACGAGUUAGUAACACGUGGGUAACGAACCCCGGAGACGGGUAUAACUUGGAGAAAUCCAGGCUAAUUCCCGAAGUCCCUUCACCAUAAAAAUGGUGAAGGGUAAAAGGAAGAAGAAAUUCGACCGCUCUGGGAUCGGCCUGCGGCCUAUCAGCUUGUUGGUGAGGUAAAAGCUCACCAAGGCUAUGACGGGUAGGGGAUGUGAGAGCAUGUUCCCCAACGAUGGGACUGCGACACGGCCCAUACUCCUACGGGAGGCAGCAGUCGAGAAUAUUGGGCAAUGGGGGAAACCCUGACCCAGCGACACUGCGUGCUCGAAGAAGCCCUUCGGGGUGUAAAGAGCUUUUCUGCCUGAAUAACCCUUCGGGGUGAAGGUAAGGCAAGAAUAAAGGGAUGCUAAUCACGUGCCAGCAGCAGCGGUAAUACGUGAUCCCUAAGCGUUAUCCGGAUUUAUUGGGCGUAAAGAGUCCGUAGGCGGCCAGGAAAGUUUCUGGUUAAAUACCCAGGGCUCAACCUUGGGGGUGCCAGAGAUACUACCUGGCUAGAGGGCGUUAGGGGCUGAUGGAACGGUCGGUGUAGGGGUGAAAUCCGUUGAUAUCGACCGGAACACCAAAAGCGAAGGCAUUCAGCUGGGACGACCCUGACGCUGAGGGACGAAAGCGUAGGUAGCGACAAGGAUUAGAUACCCUUUUAGUCUACGCUGUAAACGAUGGACACUGGCUAUCUGAAGUGUCGACCCUUCGGGUGGCGAAGCUAACGCGUUAAGUGUCCCGCCUGGGAAGACGGCGGCAACGCU
rnacentral:rRNA from 1 species